CACGAUUUGAAAGAAUUUGCUACAUAUCGUUCAGAAUACAUGCACUUAUGCAAAUGUCGUAGAACGCUCGAAGUUAAUCUAUACGAAAACAUUCCAGUCUUAUUCUUCUUGCGCCCAAAUAAAGCCACAAUUUUUUUGCAACUGACAUGUACUUUGGUACCACAGAAAGCAUCAUUUCAACUAUGUGACCAGUUGCUACCAACUACAACACAGGGUAAUCACUGACAUAAGCGAACGUGAAUUAAUCAUAGGAACUGAUACAGAGAAGCAAAGUAUGAAAAUAUUAUAACUCCUGAGGCAACAUGAUUUUAUGGAUAGCAUAUUUCAUAACUGCAUUCUGUUUUCAGAACUGGAACAAAAUUUACUUCCCAAAACCAUUGUAUUAUCUGUACUAAAAAAUAAUUGUCAUAUAUCUGUAACAAAAGUCUAAAAGAAAAGUGAACACCAAAACAUCCAACAACAAACUAUCAUAAAGCAUUCAAUAAUACUGUAAUUCAAUAUGGUCAUAAUUUUUAAUAUCAAUUUACAAUUACAUCACAACACUUAUGUCUUGUAGCAAGAUACAAUUUUACGGCACUUCUUGAAGAGGAAAAUGUCAGUUGUGCAGUAAAUGCUUCAAAAUAUCAACAUUAUGCAUGCAGCAUUCUUACAGGAAUUGUGACCAGAAAAUUAAGAAAGGAAACAAUGCCCAUAGAUUUUGCUGCAUUUGGAUGGGGCAGGUAAAGUAUGUAUAUGGAGGUUCACAUACUUCACUUGGGAACCACAGCCUUAAAACUACAACCUGCCUGCAGAAGUUUUCCAGCUCACAAGAAACAACGUUCACACAGGGCACCUUAAUUUGUAUGAACAAGCAUUUUUUCAUACAGCAAACAUUUAUGUACAUACUCAGGCAAAUACAGCAUUGUGCAUUUAGCAUGAAACCCAUGUACACUGCUUGCAUAAAAAAGCUGCAGAUGCUUGGAAUGGUGUUCAAACAGCAGGCAAAAAAAUAUAUAACAUAAAUAAAUGGAGGAGGAGGUCUUCUAAUACCUGA